UUAAAUUGAAGAGUUUGAUCAUGGCUCAGAUUGAACGCUGGCGGCAGGCCUAACACAUGCAAGUCGAACGGUAACAGGAAGCAGCUUGCUGCUUUGCUGACGAGUGGCGGACGGGUGAGUAA
rnacentral:rRNA from 13 species